CGUCUCCAUUUUCAACAGGCAAAGCGCCGCGACAGGAGCACCCAGCCGCCCUCGUCAGCAGCCGUGCGGUAACAGCGAGAGCAAUACAUGCGAAGCAGCGAAAUUAAUCUGCACGAAUAAGUGGAUAUUCACGCACUGAUUACAUAAUUUUACUGGACUAUUUAUUCUACUGUUGUUGUUUAUGUUUUCUAUCCACCCGAAGUUUGUUUUUAAUUGCACAAUUCGCAUUUCUAACUGAUUUCCAACUCAAAAUGGAGAAUCAAGAAGGCAAAUAUCUCCCGGAGCUUCUCGCGGAGAAAGACAGUCUGGACGUGUCAUUUACGCACGCGAUGAAACUUUUAUCCGCAGAAAUCGAGAGAAUCCAGAAAGGUGAGCCCAAGAAGGAAGGAGGAGAUGCGUAUUUGGACCUUUUCACCGUCAAGAAUAUCAAACUGAAGGAACGCGUGCUCAUACCCGUCAAACAGUAUCCGAGGUUCAACUUUGUGGGGAAGAUUCUUGGCCCUCAGGGCAACACAAUCAAACGCCUUCAGGAAGAGACUGGGGCCAAGAUCUCUGUACUGGGCAAAGGUUCCAUGAGGGACAAGGCGAAGGAGGAGGGUCUGAGGAAAGGUGGCGAGGCCAAGUACGCACACCUGUCUAUGGAGCUGCAUGUCUUCAUCGAGGUGUUUGCCCCCGUGCCCGAGGCUUACCUACGUAUGGCGCACGCCAUGGAGGAAGUCAAGAAGUUCCUGUUUCCUGACAUGAUGGAUGACAUCUGUCAGGAACAGUUCAUGGAGAUGGGUUAUCUGAACGGGGGCCAGGAGCACGGGCCAGGGGCCCCACGAGGUAGAGGCGGACCACCGGGCCCCAGGGGGCGAGGAGGGCCACCGGGUCAAACAGGGGCAUCCAGGGGUAGAGGUAUGCUCCCACGUGGAGGUGUCACAAGGGGAGGUGCGCCCCGCGGAGGGCCAGCGAGAGUUGGGGUAGUGAGGGGGUCACCGGCAGGAAGAGGGGGACCUCCAGCUGCCCCCGCCCGAGGGGCUGCAACGCCCCGAGCCAGACCCCCUGCCCCUGGGGGACCACCGAGGAUGCCCCCUCCACCCCCCCACCAGCACCAACACGGCCCAGGACCGGAACAAUAUGAGGAAUAUGCUUAUGAUGAGGGCUACACAGAGCCAGCGUACGAGUCAUACGACAAUUACUACAGUCAACCACAGGCAGAGCCAGAAUACUACGACUACGGACAUGGAGAGGUACAGGAGGCAUAUGAACCCUACGCCCAGGAUGACUGGAACGGAGCCCAGAGAGCGGCACCGGCGGGGAAGGCCCCACCUUCCAGAGCGGCUAAGGGCCCUUACCGAGAACACCCCUAUAGACAAUACUGAACUCACCAUGACAGCGCCUAGCGACCAACGCUAACGAGUUGCCCUGACAACCAACCAACCUGUCUACCACGGCAGCUCUCGCUCUAAGCAACCCUCGAAAAAAGUCCAACUAUUAGUCAGUCAUGGACCAAUCAGAGGGUGGCUUACUGGAGAGAGAGAACCAAUCAGAGGUCGGCUUACUGGAGAGAUGAUACCAUACAUACCUCAGUGAGGUGGUGCAGGAGCCGCAGGGCUCUACUUGACAGAGCACUGGAUCGCCGUCAGGCUCCACAGUGAAGAACUGACCCAGUAGAGGGCACCAAUACUGGGGUAGAGCAGUCUGGAAGGAGGGCAGGCUGCCCAGAGGACCAGAGAGCAGAUGUAGCCUACAGAGGAGAGAGAAGGGAGCCUUGGCCCCGCUAGAAAAAGAAGAGGGGUGGUUCUAUGAGGCUCUGUAUUAGAAUCUAGAUGAGGGGAGAAGAUUCUGGAAUGUGAAGCUAUGACACUUUACUGUGAAGCUAUGACACUUUACUGUGAAGCUAUGACACUUUACUGUGAAGCUAUGACACUACUGUGAAGCUAUGACACUUUACUGUGAAGCUAUGACACUUUACUGUGAAGCUAUGACACUUUACUGUGAAGCUAUGACACUUUACUGUGAAGCUAUGACACUUUACUGUGAAGCUAUGACACUUUACUGUGAAGCUAUGACACUUUACUGUGAAGCUAUGACACUUUACUGUGAAGCUAUGACACUACUGUGAAGCUAUGACACUACUGUGAAGCUAUGACACUUUACUGUGAAGCUAUGACACUUUACUGUGAAGCUAUGACACUACUGUGAAGCUAUGACACUACUGUGAAGCUAUGACACUACUGUGAAGCUAUGACACUUUACUGUGAAGCUAUGACACUACUGUGAAGCUAUGACACUACUGUGAAGCUAUGACACUACUGUGAAGCUAUGACACUACUGUGAAGCUAUGACACUUUACUGUGACGCUAUGACACUUUACUGUGAAGCUAUGACACUACUGUGAAGCUAUGACACUACUGUGAAGCUAUGACACUUUACUGUGAAGCUAUGACACUACUGUGAAGCUAUGACACUAUUGUGAAGCUAUGACACUACUGUGAAGCUAUGAGACUUUACUGUGAAGCUAUGACACUACUGUGAAGCUAUGACACUUUACUGUGAAGCUAUGACACUUUACUGUGAAGCUAUGACACUUUACUGUGAAGCUAUGACACUACUGUGAAGCUAUGACACUUUACUGUGAAGCUAUGACACUACUGUGAAGCUAUGACACUACUGUGAAGCUAUGACACUUUACUGUGAAGCUAUGACACUUUACUGUGAAGCUAUGACACUACUGUGAAGCUAUGACACUUACUGUGAAGCUAUGACACUUUACUGUGAAGCUAUGACACUUUACUGUGAAGCUAUGACACUACUGUGAAGCUAUGACACUACUGUGAAGCUAUGACACUUUACUGUGAAGCUAUGACACUUUACUGUGAAGCUAUGACACUUUACUGUGAAGCUAUGACACUACUGUGAAGCUAUGACACUACUGUGAAGCUAUGACACUACUGUGAAGCUAUGACACUUUACUGUGAAGCUAUGACACUACUGUGAAGCUAUGACACUACUGUGAAGCUAUGACACUUUACUGUGAAGCUAUGACACUUUACUGUGAAGCUAUGACACUACUGUGAAGCUAUGACACUUUACUGUGAAGCUAUGACACUACUGUGAAGCUAUGACACUACUGUGAAGCUAUGACACUUUACUGUGAAGCUAUGACACUACUGUGAAGCUAUGACACUACUGUGAAGCUAUGACACUUUACUGUGAAGCUAUGACACUUUACUGUGAAGCUAUGACACUUUACUGUGAAGCUAUGACACUACUGUGAAGCUAUGACACUUUACUGUGAAGCUAUGACACUUUACUGUGAAGCUAUGACACUUUACUGUGAAGCUAUGACACUUUACUGUGAAGCUAUGACACUACUGUGAAGCUAUGACACUUUACUGUGAAGCUAUGACACUACUGUGAAGCUAUGCUUGUGAUGUCUGUUUGACUGGUGUUUUGAUACCGUACUGCUUAUUCACUGCUAGGCACUUUGUUUUUGAUAUGAAUCACUUUUAUAUUGUUUUGUAAUGUGAACAGUUUCCAAGACCUUUUACAGUUUGUAGUAAGUGAAACUUCAUUGUUAUGGAAAUGUACUAUGACAAUGACCACCCAGGCUGUAACCAGCUGUGAAAUUGGUUUAAAUGUCCCUUUAAUUGGUUGUCUUAUUUUCUUUGAAGGGUUGAACACAUUUUUACUUUCUGCAAGGCCCCCCCCCCCCCCCCCAUAAACACAUUAAUUGUUAAUUAUACUCUUUAAC